ensembl:lncRNA
AUGUUUGUGUGUGUGGGGGACAUAUGUGUGUGCAGUGUCUCUAGACGCAGUAAUCCUGCCAGACCUAAUUACUGCUCUCUAUCCCUCCUUCUCUCUCUCUCUCUCUCUCUCUCUUUCUCUCUCUCUCUCUCUAGCUCUCAGAGUGGAGUUUUGAGUUGGCUCUCUCAUGGGUUCAGCAGUGCUCUCCCUCAGCCAGUAAACUCCUCUAAACUGGCCAACAGUGAAGUUAAGGGCUGGAAUGAUAGGCUGGAUUGUGCAGGAACUGGGAAAAGUGGUUCCACAGCCAGAUGAGAAAUACAAGGUCCACACAGAGACGGAGGAGGUCACUGAGGUGCAAGAGGUCAAAAACGUUCGUGGUGAGUUCAGCCUCUUAAUCGGCACGUCAUAUAGAUCAGUAUAAACUUUGGCUUUCUGAAUUUGCAUUGCAAAGGGCCGAUGAGAGAGGACACAAAACACGUGACAUGAAUCUCACUCUCACCAGAUGCUGAGCCACUGCCUCAUAUUCCUGUGGUGGAGGUUGUGCCUGAUGAGGAACCAGACGCUGCUAAUGUGCCUUUCUCUCCCAGGUAUAUGUAUAUACUGUAUCAGCUGUCAGAAGCUAAUCUGAACUCUCAUUCUGGCUGAACACUUUUAACCUAUCUGUUUCUUUCUCUUUCAGGGUAAUAGAAUGGAUUAAGCAUGGUUUUGAGAAAGUAGUUCCUCAGUCUCCUGUCCAUCUUCGUCCUCCCGCUAGCACCGAUGCACCCGCCCAGAAGGUUGCUUCUGCACCUGUGACUCCCUGCAAACAAGAGCCAGGUAACAUUUUAAAAAUCAAGAAUGUUAGUCUUUCUUGGUGACAGAGUGGUCUGCGUGUGACAUUUUUCUUUUAUUUAGCACCUGCACCUGCACCUGCACCAACACCUGCUCCUGCACCUCCACCUGUGCCUGCACCUGCACCAGCACCAGCACCAACACCUGCACCUGCACCUGCAGCCCCACCUGCACCUGCACCUGCAGCUCCUGAGCAACCUAAAGUAGCUGAGGAUUCCAAAGGCAUGAAGUGAGUGUCCACCUGCUUCCCUUAAAAUGUCUAUGGUUAUGCUCCAACCCGAUUUCAUGAAAGUGCGUAUAAAUAGUAUGCCAAAAAAAUAAAAACUUGUGGUAUUGAUACGCA